UACGAAGGAUGCAAGCGUUAUCCGGAUUCAUUGGGUUUAAAGGGAGCGUAGGUGGCCUUAUAAGUCAGUGGUGAAAUCUCUGGGCUUAACUCAGAAAUUGCCAUUGAUACUGUAGGGCUUGAGUAUAGUUGCCGUUGGCGGAAUAUGUCAUGUAGCGGUGAAAUGCUUAGAUACGACAUAGAACACCGAUAGCGAAGGCAGCUUGCUACACAAUCAUUGACACUGAGGCACGAAAGCGUGGGGAUCAAACAGG
rnacentral:rRNA from 1 species